rnacentral:rRNA from 1 species
UACGAAUGGGGCUAGCGUUGUUCGGAUUUACUGGGCGUAAAGCGCACGUAGGCGGAUUGGUCAGUUAGGGGUGAAAUCCCGGAGCUCAACUCCGGAACUGCCUUUAAUACUGCCAGUCUAGAGUCCGGAAGAGGUGAGUGGAACUCCUAGUGUAGAGGUGGAAUUCGUAGAUAUUAGGAAGAACACCAGUGGCGAAGGCGGCUCACUGGUCCGGUACUGACGCUGAGGUGCGAAAGCGUGGGGAGCAAACAGG